AUUGAACGCUGGCGGCAUGCCUUACACAUGCAAGUCGAACGGCAGCACGGGGCAACCUGGUGGCGAGUGGCGAACGGGUGAGUAAUGCAUCGGAACGUGCCCGGUCGUGGGGGAUAACGCAGCGAAAGCUGCGCUAAUACCGCAUACGAUCUGAGGAUGAAAGCGGGGGACCGUAAGGCCUCGCGCGAUCGGAGCGGCCGAUAUCAGAUUAGGUAGUUGGUGAGGUAAAGGCUCACCAAGCCGACGAUCUGUAGCUGGUCUGAGAGGACGACCAGCCACACUGGGACUGAGACACGGCCCAGACUCCUACGGGAGGCAGCAGUGGGGAAUUUUGGACAAUGGACGCAAGUCUGAUCCAGCCAUUCCGCGUGCAGGACGAAGGCCUUCGGGUUGUAAACUGCUUUUGUACAGAACGAAAAGGUCUCUAUUAAUACUGGGGGCUCAUGACGGUACUGUAAGAAUAAGCACCGGCUAACUACGUGCCAGCAGCCGCAGUAAAAC
rnacentral:rRNA from 1 species